rnacentral:ncRNA from 1 species
GAUAACAGCACAAUCCUAUUCUAGAGUCCACAUUGACAAUAGGGUUUACGACCUCGAUGUUGGGUCAGGACAUCCUAAUGGUGUAGCCACUAUUAAGGGUUCGUUUGUUUAAUGACUAAAGUCUUACAUGAUCUGAGUUCAGACCAGAGUAAUGCAGAUU